GAAAUGCGAUAAGUAAUGUGAAUUGCAGAAUUCAGUGAAUCAUCGAAUCUUUGAACGCACAUUGCGCCCGCCAGUAUUCUAGCGGGCAUGCCUGUUCGAGCGUCAUUUCAACCAUCAAGCCCCCGGGCUUGUGUUGGGGACCUGCGGCUGCCGCAGGCCCCGAAAACCAGUGGCGGGCUCGCUGUCACACCGGGCGUAGUAGAUUUUUCGUCUCGCCCAGGGCGUGCUGCGGGUUCCGGCCGUUAAAAAGCCUCUCUUUUAACCCAAGGUUGACCUCGGAUCAGGUAGGAAGACCCGCUGAACUUAAGC
rnacentral:misc_RNA from 1 species